rnacentral:rRNA from 1 species
UACGUAGGGUGCAAGCGUUUAAUCGGAAUUACUGGGCGUAAAGCGUGCGCAGGCGGUUUUGUAAGUCUGACGUGAAAUCCCCCGGGCUCAACCUGGGAAUUGCGUUGGAGACUGCAAGGCUGGAGUCUGGCAGAGGGGGGUAGAAUUCCACGUGUAGCAGUGAAAUGCGUAGAGAUGUGGAGGAACACCGAUGGCGAAGGCAGCCCUCUGGGUCAAGACUGACGCUCAUGCACGAAAGCGUGGGGAGCAAACAGG